ensembl:ncRNA lncRNA:CR43884 long non-coding RNA:CR43884
AUUUGUCACAAAUUUCCUAAUUUGAACUUUGACCUAAGAUAAAGCGUAUAAUAUGCUGCCCGAACAUCUAUCAGUUUUACGGCCCUCCAGAGAUGGUUUUAAUUACGGGCAAAUCACCAAUCCAAGUUACAACUUGCUCUGCAGCUAUUAGCUCGCAUGUUCACAAUGCAUAAGCUUGCGAACAGGUGUACAAAUUCAGGUGCACAACGGUUGGGAGAGGGACGGGUAGCCUUGAGUGAAAGAGAUAGCGGAAUGGACAGCGGACAGGCUUUUAGCAACAUGAAAAUGCUUUAUGGCAAUUAAAAAGCCAGAGAAAAGGAAUAUAGAUGGAUUGAUAGGAAAAAACGAGAAAGAGCGAUUGAACAAAUUGCAACGACAUGAAUGCAAUUGAAUGGUGUGUUCCGGAAAUCGAAACCUCUGAUUUCGAGUGGCAAUGGCCCACUUAUAAUUGCGCUUUUCUGGCCAAAUUGAUUUCGAGAACAUUGCUUGAAAAUAUAUUGGCAGCCAUUUUAUAUGUAGCAUGA